AUUGAACGCUGGCGGCAGGCCUAACACAUGCAAGUCGAACGAGUUGCGGACGGGUGAGUAAUGUCUGGGAAACUGCCUGAUGGAGGCGGAUAACUACUGGAAACGGUAGCUAAUACCGCAUACCAUCGGAUGUGCCCAGAUGGGAUUAGCUAGUAGGUGGGGUAAAGGCUCACCUAGGCGACGAUCCCUCGCUGGUCUGAGAGGAUGACCAGCCACACUGGAACUGAGACACGGUCCAGACUCCUACGGGAGGCAGCAGUGGGGAAUAUUGCACAAUGGGCGCAAGCCUGAUGCAGCAAUGCCGCGUGUAUGAAGAAGGCAUUCGGGUUGUAAAGUACUUGCAGCGGGGAGGCGUUACCCGCAGAAGAAGCACCGGCUAACUCCGUGCCAGCAGCCGCGGUAAUAC
rnacentral:rRNA from 1 species